rnacentral:rRNA from 1 species
CGGACGGGUGAGUAAUGUCUGGGAAACUGCCUGAUGGAGGGGGAUAACUACUGGAAACGGUAGCUAAUACCGCAUAACGUCGCAAGACCAAAGAGGGGACCUUCGGGCCUCUUGCCAUCAGAUGUGCCCAGAUGGGAUUAGCUAGUAGGUGGGGUAACGGCUCACCUAGGCGACGAUCCCUAGCUGGUCUGAGAGGAUGACCAGCCACACUGGAACUGAGACACGGUCCAG